ACCUGCGAUAGCUCAGCUGGUACAGCAUGAGGCUGGUAAUCUUAGGGUUAUGGGUUCGAGUCCCACAUUGGGUG